UCCGUUAUGGUGUAGUGGCUAACAUUAUCGCCUCUCAUCCAGCUCUGCGCAUUGCUCCCAGAUUGAGUGCGCGAUAGCCCAGGGUUCGAUUCCCUGUAACGGAA